AUGUUUAAAGUCUGCUUCAAUGCUCGUGGUUUUAUGCUGAAUUAUUUAUUUGUUUAUAAAGCAGGCCCAAGGUGGCAAAGUGUGCCUCCUAUUGCUGGAGGAGCUGUUGCUCUCCUCGCUGUUCUCAUAGUGGCCCUGGCUGUCGUGAUGUCCCGGAGGGGAAAGAAGACAAUCAGCUCAACCACUGACUUGAGAAAUACAGAUAGGAACACACAGGAGUGUGAUCAGGUGAUUAGCAUGUUAGCAUAAACAUAAUACACUAACCACAGAUAGGAACACACAGGAGUUUGAUCAGGGUAUUAGCAUGUUAGCAUACACAUAAUACACUAACCACAUAUAGGAACACACAGGAGUGCGAUCAGGUGAUUAGCAUGUUAGCAUAAACAUAAUACACUAACCCCUGUCCAUGCCUUUCCACAUAAAAACCCUGCACAAAGGAACUGUACUACAGCGGGACACUUUGUCCUCUUUGCCACUCCCUGGUAGCGCACAGUAUAGUAUGGUACACUUUUCCCAAACUGUGCAACUUAAGGGGACAUUUUUUAACUUUGAGGAUUUUUUCCACUGACUGGGACUACACAGUAUGGUUUGGCUCAUUGAUGUUGCCCAUUACUCCACUGCAAAAUGUGCUGUCCCACAUUCGUGCUGAUUUUGGUUAUCAGGGAUUGUAUUACAAGAAAACUCUUUGACCCUCUCAAAAUGUCCCCUCCCCAACCCCACAGGAUGAGGCCGAUAAUGAUUAUGUCAACGUCAAUCCGGUGACCUCUGACCCCACCCUGAGAGUGGACUCAGGCGGCCCAGAUGACGUCCACUACGCCAGCGUUCGGUUCAAGAGCUCCAGAGGACAGGAGGUGCCCCUCUACUCCACCGUCCAGAAGCCGAAACUCCGCACACAGCAGCAGCAGCAGAGGGUGGUGGAGGAGGCGGAGUACGCAGCAGUCAAGUUCUCUACACACAACACUGCCUGCAAGUGAGUAAAAUAGGACAUUACACAUAGAACCAUCAGUCUGAACAGACAGCCGUGCUGAUGUUAGAUGCAAAAUUAAUUUACUAUUCAAUCAAUCAAUCAAUCAGUCAAUCAAUCAAUCAAUCAAUCAAUCAAUCAAUCAAUCAACUUGGUAGUGAGUAGAAUGGGACAUUGAGAAACUACUGCAUAGGAAAUGCACAAGCGCAAGAUCUUCAGGGUAUACUGUACGUUACUAUAAUUGAAUCAACAGCUUGUUCAGCCCAAUCUCACAUGUGCUCUUUGGUAACUGAAUUAAAAGCCCGGCAUGGAACAAAUAGAGAAGAGGUGGUGCUACUAUUAGGAUAAGUACGGUACUUUCUGUAGGUUUUCUGUCCACACCCUCGGCUGCCCCCUAGUGGCAAGAAAUGUCAGUGCAGAUGCAAUGCUAUCCACACAGUCCAUUGUGUCCUAUGAAGACAAAAGGCUAGUACUCUUCCAUCCAUUUACUUUCCAGAUCAGGAUCUCCAGAGAGUAGAACGUGAUAGCUUGACCCAUACGUGUUGCUUAUAGGUUGAUAUGUUGUACUGAUUUAGAUUCACCAAAGCAUUGACCUCUCAUGUCAAAAGGGAGUAUGUGUAGUUUCUAAGGACCUUCAUGACUCAAUGCCUUUAUUUCUAAAAGCCACGAAAGUGAGUCUGAGAUGUCUCAGCAUUCUCAUGAAAAUGCAAAAAAGACUGUAGUGGUUGAGCUGUGAAGCAUUCAUUCAUCUAUUCAUCCAUCCAUCCAUCCAUCCAUCCAUCCAUCCAUCCGUCCGUCCGUCCAUCCAUCCAUCCAUUCAGUCAUUCAUUCAUUCAUUCAUUCAUUCAUUCAUUCAUUCAUUCGUUCAUUCAUUCAUUCAUUCAUUCAUUCAUUCAUUCAUUCAUUCAUUCAUUCAUUCAUUCAUUCGUUCAUUCAUUCAGCCAUUCAAUCAUUGCAUUAUUCAAUCAUUCAUAUUUCCAUUCCACCAAGAAUGUAUUCAUUUAGCAGAUGCUUUUACCCAAUGCAAUUUACAGUGAGUUACAACACCAUACAGUCCUCUCCACUAUGAGUGGCACCCCUGGUAAAUAUGAGUAUAUGAGGGGUAUAAGAAAGUUCACGCUGUCACACUGAAGAAAAAAUAGAAAAACCCAACCUUUGAUUGAAGUAAAUGAAUUCUGAGGAUUAACAAAAAACAUCCCUAAUCAAGAAAUCAUUAUUUUAAACAGAAUCACACGUGCCUCAAUUCAUCUUACGAACAUAAUGUAACUGAAGCGUUUCAUUUUUUUCCCCAUUGAUAUUAUACUUUUUUUUUAAAGUUGAUUUAAAGUGUUUAGGAACUUUCAAUCGGUAAUCCAUGACUUCCCGUUUCACUGGGGUAUACAUAUGAGGUGACACAGAGGCCACAUUCCCUUAUUCAUUCUUCAACAUGGGAAAACAAAAGUGUGUCACAUUGAAUAUUAAUGAACAUGUUUUCUACUAAGAAACCGGCAACAAAUUGUAAAUACAUUGAUAUUCAUAGAUUGUUUACCUUUUUGCUGUAAGUGACUUUUUGCCCUGGCUUGUGUGAAGUAGUGUUACAUAAAAAUACGUAUCUCUUCAGUAUAGCAUAUGACAUUUGGUCAUAUUCAGCUUUACUCUUGUGAAACCCGAAAAGACGUCAUGUUAUGUGUAUAUACAACGUGUCAUAGGGCAGUCAGGAUUUUUUUUCAUGUUAUCCUGUCAGAAUUUUAUAAAGAAUAUAUAUAUGCUAUGUGUGGCAAUGAACCAGUUAUUUUCUUUUUCCUGCAAUGAGAGUAUAUAAUGUAGAGUAAACUUUAAAAUGUUAAAGUGUGUCAUAGAUUAUCUUUUUUUUAAUAGUUGCAUUAUAAUCUGCAUUCUGUGCCAUCUAUAGUUAAUUUAAUAAGUUAUUUCAAAUAAAAUAUAUUUUAAAGACA
ensembl:lncRNA